UAAAAUAAAAAUGAUUUCCUAGAAACAUAAAAUGCAAGAUAAACUGUAAAGUACAAGCUCAAAUUAUGUAUUAGGAGAAUCAAUAGACCUAGAACUCCUAUAUCACAUUGCAGUAAGUGUCUAAAUGCUACUCAAAUUUCACUCUUAAGAUAGUUAUGCUUUAAGCAACAGGACUUUAGAACACAGAUUUUAUCUUCCUUUUCCACUCUUUUAUUUCCCAUCUCCUUUACGCAAGCUCCCCACCCUGGAGCUGAAUAAGUCAAUUUUUGGGGCAAUGUUUGCUCAUGCCUUUCUCUCCCACAGACGGUCUGUGAGGUCAUUUUAUAAGAAUAGAGGCUUUUACCUACGCAGGAUGAAGGUGAAGGGACCAUGGAUAUUGUGGUCAAGUCCAUGUCACCAGUCAGCUGAUAAAGGCAUUUCUACAAGAGACAGAAUGACAUUGUCAAAUUCUAAAUCUUGGGACUACGAUGGAGACCACCUUCUGGAGAUUAAAGGCACAUUUUCUGGUCCUGCACCUUAGAGUUUCUGAUUUUGCCAUCAUAGUGUCCAGAGCUCACGACCAAGGAAGAAUUCUUGAGCUGUCUCUGGUGCCGCAAAAAGACCUCCCUCGGUCAGGAGUUCUGGGAUACUUGGCGGGGUAUUCCAACUGUGCAGGAUGCUUUUCCACAGCAGACCAGAGAUGUGCUGGACUUUGCUGAUGUCAUCUGGGUAUAGGAAAAACCAACAGACCCUCCAAACGCGAUCCUAACACUGAAGGCGGAAGUGACACAGUGGAAGAACUUGUCCCAGUCUUCAUCGCAGGGACUGAAGAGCUCAGGCUCAGCUGCAGUCUGAAAGCUGAAGAACACCGUCAGGGACAGAACAGCAUCGGAUGAGGGAGAUGGACGACCACAUCAGCUUGGAGUGGCGGGAUUACAGAAUAUCCCUCAGGAGCUUCCCCAGGAAAAGAGGUUGGAUGUUGGGAGCAUAACUGCUACACCCUUCAUAGCUCGGUAGUCGCCUCAGCCUCUGCUGGCAUCGAGCAAUAAAGAAACACAGACAAAGGUCAGGGCCAGAGUCCCCAUUGACUCUAUCCAGUUUUCAUUUUCUCAUACUUGGGCUCACCUCAUCAGGGCGGUAUGGUAAGAACUAGAUUUACCCUUGAGUUGACCAUCUUCAUGGAGUUUCUACCCAAGGCUCCACAGCAGGCACUGGAGAAAGAUGACAAGAGCUCUCUCGAGGCCUUCCAUUUACUGGAGAAUAAGAACAAGUAAAUUUGCCACUGCAUCAUAGAAAACCAGGUGCUGUGUAGACUUAUGAAAUUUCCCAGGAUGGGUCCCUCCAGUCUUCGUUGGAGCAUCAGUAGCAUGAGUGAAGGGCUUUAGAGGAAGAGACCUUUGCCUGGAGAGCAGAAAAAUGAGUAGGCAGCAGCUACAGGGCUGGUGUGGUGAAAGGAGCUCCAGAAUAUUCCAUGGAGGGGUGAACAGGUAGGAAUCCUCGGCCUGCUCUGGAAUCUAAAAGCAGGGUAUCUAUGGCCGAAAUGGAAGUGUGAAGAGAGAAGCUGUUGCAGAGGAAGUUGGGCCAAGGAGAGCCUGACCAGCUUGGGAGCUUGAAAGGGCUCAGAACGGGUGUGCCUGGUAGCUCAGUUGGUUCAGCGUCUGCCUCCGGCUCAGGUCAUGAUCCCAGGGUCCUGG